rnacentral:rRNA from 1 species
CAGCACGCGGUAAUACCGGCGGCCCGAGUGGCGGUCACUAUUAUUGGGCUUAAAGCGUCCGUAGCCGGGUUGGGAAGUCCUCCGGGGAAUCUGGCCGCUUAACGGUCAGAAUGCCGGAGGAUACUCCCAGCCUAGGGAGCGGGAGAGGCCGAGGGGAUUCCCGGGGUAGGGGGGAAAUCCUAUAAUCCCGGGAGGACCACCUGUGGCGAAGGCGCUCGGCUGGAACGCGUCCGACGGUGAGGGACGAAGGCCAGGGGAGCAAACCGGAUUAGAUACCCGGGUAGUCCUGGCUGUAAACGAUGCGGACUUUGUGUCGGACAAGCUAUGAGCUUGUCCGGUGCCGGAGGGAAACCGUUAAGUCCGCCGCCUGGGGAGUACGGCCGCAAGGCUGAAACUUAAAGGAAUUGGCGGG